AGUCGCACUCCGAGAAAGGACGCAGAACACUCCCGAGUGACUGCACACUUUUUGGUGCUGCAUUUUUUUAUUAUUAUCUUUUAACAAUUAUUUGUAUUAGUUUUUUUGUGUGCAACUCUGAAGGUUGGACUUGAGCUCUUUAUUUUUAAUUGUAUUUUUGGAAGUGAGGAGUAGACUGAUCCUGAUGCGCAAGAGCAUGCACAUGCCGACAUCAGCAAAAAAGUUGGCAUCUGAAGGCAAAAGGCCGGCAAGGGAGAGGAUGAAGGGCUCGCUGCAGAUGGAAACACGCGUGGGCGGUAGCAAGGAGGGAUGACUGAACUCCGAGACCCCCAGUGCAGAUCCUCAUCGUGAUCAUCAUGGCCAGGGGCUUCUUGUCUUCCUCCGCCUGUGGUCCACACUUCCACCCAGAGGUCCGAGCUGGGCGAGUGGGCAGAGGAGGGAUGGAGAAGCUCCCUGAAGGCGAGAAGCAGGAGAAAUCAAUACCAAACACGCUCGCCUUGAAGUGGGGCUUUCCUCUGGUUCUCUGUGGCCUGGGGGCACGCAGGCCUCCAAAGGACGGGCCCUCUCAACUGGACCGGACCCCCUUUCUCCACUUGUGUGGUUUUGCUGAAGGGGAUCCCCCAUCACUUCCCACCCCAGCACCCUGAAAGCUGAGACACAGCCAAAAGGGAUUUUUUUUCCAGUUGCAACAGAUUGACUUAUUCUCCACCUUCUUUCUUAGGACUUUUGACUCGUUUCAACAGUACAGCCUGAACAAAUGUCUUUUGCAAACCAGAAAAUCUUUUUCCCCCUCCUCCCAGAAAGAAAAUGGACUGAACAGCAAAGAAAACAAUAUAAUCAUUUGGGACUCUUGCUUGGAAUGGAUCAUCAAUUAAUAUAUCAAUAGAUUUGACUAUUGAUCGUCUUGGAAAAACACUUCUAGUAACUAAUAGUCAAUGUCAAUUUUCUGUUAUUUUUUGUUUUGUUUUCUGCGGUUGUUAUGAAACACAACAUGUACAGGUAUGUGUGUGUACAGUUAUUAAACAUAAUGUGUGUGUACAGUUAUUAAACACAUGUACAGGUAUGUGUACAGAUAUUCAACACAACAUGUAUGUGUACAGUUAUUAAACAUAACGUGUGUACAGUUAUUAAACACAACAUGUACAGGUAUGUGUACAGUUAUUAAACACAUGUACAGGUAUGUGUACAGUUAUUCAACACAACAUGUAUGUGUACAGUUAUUAAACACAACAUGUAUGUGUACAGUUAUUAAACGUGUGUGUACAGUUAUUAAAUAUAACAUGUGUGUGUACAGUUAUUAAACAACAUGUGUGUGUACAGUUUUUAAAAUGUGUGUACAAUCAUUAAACAACAUGUAUGUGUACAGUUAUUAAACAUAACAUGUAUGUGUAGUUAUUAAAUACAUAAUGUGUGUGUACAAUUAAACAUAACGUGUGUGUACAGUUAUUAAACAUAACAUGUAUGUGUACAGUUAUUAAACAUGUAUGUGUACAGUUAGAAUGUGUAGAUAUUAAACACGUGUGUGUACAAUUAAACAUAACAUGUGUGUGUACAGUUAUUAAACACAACAGGUGU